rnacentral:lncRNA from 1 species
GGUUUGAUUUCCAGCACCCACAUGGCAGCUUACAUCCCUGACUGUAACUCCAGUUCCAGGGCCUCUGACACAGUCACACAAACAUACAGACAGACAAAACACCAGUGAACAUAAAAUAAAAAAUAAAUUACAUAUUUUUUAAAAAGAAAGAAAGAAAAGGGCAUUUAGAGAGUCCAAAUUGGUUGGUUUCAUUUGGCUUUUAAGGUAGGAUUCUUCUAUGUGGCCCAAGCCGGCCUUCAACUUGAAUCCUUCUGCCUUCACCUCCUGUGUGCUGGGAUUACAGAUGCGCACCAUCACAACCAGUUCCACUGAUUGAUCUCAGUAUUUUUCUCUAAUUUUAAAAUGACUGCAAAUUCCUAGGGCGUUGCAAAAGCAGCACAGAGUCCCCAUAGACCUUUCACCCGCUCCGCCUGUGGCCAGCCUAUGAGAUUUCCAGUUUCCGUGUUUCUGAGGAAAUCAUGUAUGUGGAGUUUGGAUGUUCUCCACCCAUGUUGGACUUGGAGAUUAAGCUCGCCAACCAGAGACCAGAGACAGGACUAGGUUUGCAAACCCUCGUCCUGGUCUGCCACCAUCGUUUCGAUGCACAUGUGGCAUGUGGCCAUGCAUUUUCCUUUAUUCUCUGUGAGGGGAGGAGAUUCACUGUGUCUCUGUGAAUGGUUAGCUGGAAAUGCAGCCACCUGCCCUGGAGAGGGCUCAUAAGCUCCUGCUUAGCUGCUAAGCGCUGCUUGUCUCCUCCCCAGCUUAGACAGAGGAAGCUGAGAGGAUGAAAGGUAUGUGGUCCAGGCUCUUCUCUAAGAUAAUGAAAUAGCAUAAUAAUGGGACACAGCCUGUCAUGCACAGGUCUGUAAUUAGCAGCUAUAAUGGUUGUCACUAGAAAUCGCAUGUCUUAAAUUGAUGCCAUUAUUGGGAUGAAGAGCACUGUCAUUUUUUGUGUUAAUUUGCAUCAGUAGAUCCUGGCUAAAUAUUUGAUAUGGUGAACUUGAAUGAAUUUGUUAUGUGAAGACUGUGAGUCUCCUAUUGAACAAACAAUAUCCCAGUCUAGACACUUCACUGAAAUUGCAUUCAGGAAUACCUUAGCCAAGGUUUUAUCACUGAGAGAACUGCCAUGCUCUCCUGUUUCUGACCCACCCAAGGGCACCUUGGUUCCCAUUCAAAUCUACUUUACAAAUUUUUUAUUUCCUUUUGUUUAAUUAUCAGGCCAGAGUCUUGCCUUGAACAUACUGUUCUGUGCUGUAUGGGUCUGGGUCUCCACAGCCCAUUCCCGCUGCUUAAGAACGAUGCCAUUGUUGGCUCUGCCAACGUAAGAAAGAUGAGCAUUGUUGAGAAUCCUAACUGACACAGAAAAGGACAGUGCUCGUGUCCGCGGUGAGGUGCACCUGACUGAUUUCUUACUCACAGUUUGUUUUUUCUCCUUCCCUGCUCCAUCUGUUCGCUUUUCUGAUUCUUACACACCUGAUGACCCUUCCCUCAAAUGCCCAUCCUUGCUAUUUCUUCGAAGCUCUGUGCACCGAGGGCAUCCUGAGCCUUUGGACCUUCACUUGGGCAUGUUCCUGCCCACCUUGCUUCACCAGGCCACCGAAGAGCAGCAGGAGCGUUUCUUCAUGCCGGCCUGGAAUCUGGAGAUCACGGGCACUUAUGCGCAGACAGAGAUGGGUCAUGGUACAGUGUGUUUAGUCUCCCUUCUGCAGGCCUGCCUAGGUGGGGAUGGAUGGAGGUGGGGAUUCUCAUGGUUUCUGAAUUGGUGUCUGUCUGCCAUUCAUUUGCAGCUGUCGGCUUGUCCCCAUGUUCUGAGGACUCAGCGUGUGUAUUCCACGCAGACCCCUUGGUGCUGAAUAGUAUUUUAUAGGUUCCUCAGAGGAUGCAGUGGGGCAUCCAGUUGGGCUGGGCUGUGCCUGUGAGGACUUCUUUACUGUGCUGUCUGAUAUGGCCCAAGGGCUUCUUCGGCAGCAGCGUUUACUGAGUGCCUGGUUUCUUGACUUUUCCUUCGAAGGCUGUGGCUCACAAACUGUCCAUUUCUGUGGCUCAGUUUGGAAAUUUCUAGUUGUUUCAAAGUGUUCAGUGAGACCUCAAAGGCUCUCAAAGUAGUUUGUUAAAAAGGUCCUCAGCGUUUAUUUCAAUGUAAAAUGCCAGCCACGUUUUUUAAUAGUCCUUUUCAAAUAAUUACAGUGUAUGACGGCCCAUCUCCAGCCACACGUGAGCCUAAGCAUGCACUUCCUCACUCGUGAGCAGUGAGCACCGAGCCAGAGCCUGGCCCACAGAGUGAACCCAGGCCCGUUGGGCCUAUAAAUUAUUGUUUCCAUUCUAGUGGUUGUUCUAACAUAAGCUGCCGUGAAUGUACAGACAGGCUAACUGGAGUCUGCUUCUGUCACACGUUGCUUAGUCUCCUCACAAGUACAGAGGUAUAGUUCACUAGAGUCAAAGUUGUCAUGUUAAAACUUAGGAAGAGGACUCAGGCUGGCAAGGUGGCUCUGUGCUAAACUUGCUGCCAGGCCUGAUGUCCUGUUCCCAGAACACACUUGGCAGGCGAGAACUGACGCCCACCAGUUGCUGUGACUCGUGUGUCCUCGUGGCACCUAUGUACAUAGGAUAGAUGGAAGGUUGGUUUGUGUUUGUGUUUUGAGACAGGGUUUCUUUGUGUAACCUUGGCUGUUGUGGAACUUUCUCUGUAGACCAGGCUGGCCUCAAAUUCACAGAGAUCCUCCUGCCUUUGCCUCGAAAGCACUGGAAUUAAAGGAGUGUGCCACCACUGCCCAGUGGAAGUGUAGGGUUUUGUUUUGUUUUAAAUGUAAAAGAACUGGGUUUAAAGGAAAGUAGCCAUCUCUGUUACAUAGGGGAACACAAGUUGCCUCUGCAUUUUCUUUUAUUAGUCUCAAUAAAUACAGCACAUUCACUGAGCCACACUUAGGAGUGGGAUGCUCAGGACACUAUUGCUAGCGGCCUAGUGGGAAAUGUCUAACGGGACAGUAACUGCGCGGCGCCUGUCGCUCACGGCUAGUCUACAGACUCGUUGCUGGUAUUUAGCUUCCUCUGACGCCCGGCUGGUCUGUUUUCUUGGUCUUUUCCCUCUCUGCUAUACUGAGGCCAUGUGAUCUCUGACCUCAGGAACUCAUCUUCGAGGCUUGGAAACCACUGCCACAUAUGACCCCAAGACCCAAGAGUUCAUUCUCAACAGCCCAACUGUGACUUCCAUCAAGUGGUGGCCUGGGGGGCGUAAGUUGAAUUUUUUUCUUUAAAUAUCUUUUGGAUGUUUGUUGUUAUUGUUGAACAUUUUAAGGACUUAUUAUGAGAUUGCGACCGAGAUAGAGGCAGUUUAUUGAAGAGAAGAAAGGUGUUCCCAGGAAAGGAAGUGAGGGAAAGUGCAAAGACAGGUUCAGAACCAAAGCCUGCAUUGCACCAGAGAGC